rnacentral:rRNA from 1 species
AUUGAACGCUGGCGGAAUGCUUUACACAUGCAAGUCGAACGGCAGCACGGGUGCUUGCACCUGGUGGCGAGUGGCGAACGGGUGAGUAAUAUAUCGGAACGUAUCCAAUAAUGGGGGAUAACUAGCCGAAAGGUUAGCUAAUACCGCAUACGCCCUGAGGGGGAAAGCUGGGGAGCGUAAGACCUAGCGUUGAUGGAGCGGCCGAUAUCUGAUUAGCUAGUUGGUGGGGUAAGAGCCUACCAAGGCGACGAUCAGUAGCUGGUCUGAGAGGACGACCAGCCACACUGGAACUGAGACACGGUCCAGACUCCUACGGGAGGCAGCAGUGGGGAAUUUUGGACAAUGGGGGCAACCCUGAUCCAGCCAUUCCGCGUGAGAGAAGAAGGCCUUCGGGUUGUAAAGCUCUUUCGCAAGGGAAGAAAACUCGAUCUCUAAUAUAGGUUGAGGCUGACGGUACCUUGAUAAGAAGCACCGGCUAACUACGUGCCAGCAGCCGCAGUAA